rnacentral:lncRNA from 1 species
CAGAAAAUAGAGGAACAAGCUCGGAAACAAGGUGUCCAGGGGAAGCUGAAGGCAGUAUGGCUUAGAGGAUGGACUGCUGCUGCCUCUGGUGCUUGGAAGAUGUGGGCGCCCAACAAGCCCAGACAGUCAUUUGCUGCAUGACCAUGGACCAUGGGCCAAUCCCUUCCCUUGUUUCUCCUCAGUUUCGUGCCCGAGGCCUCACCUCCUCCUUACUGGGGGCCUGGAAUGAGAUCAGCGAAGAAAGCCGUUGGCAGACUUCAGCCUGCGGGAUCAGACGCCCCUCCAAAGCAGGGACUGCUUGUCCUCAUCCCUCCGCACUGGAGUCCGUCAGGACGGACAACCCAAGGCCCGGAAAGAGGCAACCUCUUACUCCAACACUUUCCAGGGAGGGAGACCACCAACUUGGAGGUGUGAGGCAUCAUGGGAAAACAAAAGCCCACCCACAAAACCUUGGCUUUGCUCCAGCAGUCGUGUGUGUUGAAAUGUUACUGGAUGGGACAUCAAAGGAUCUAGAGCUUACUCACUGUUCUGUUUGUGUGGCAAAAACAUUGGGCAAAUCACUUCCCAGAAUCGUAGGCUCCUAGAUUUAGAUCUGGAAGACACAAAGUCUUUAUUGAGUAAAAUCCCCUCAUUUUAUAGAUAUACUGACUGAAAAGGGCAGUGAAGUGUCUUGUCCAAGGUCCUAAGUAACAAGGUUGGGAUUUGAACCCAAGACUUCUGAAUUCAAAGACCUUCCUCUUCAAGACCGUGGUUUCCUACCCUGUAAAAUGAGGGUAUUAGACAU